GACGAACGCUGGCGGCGUGCUUAACACAUGCAAGUCGAACGGUAAGGCCCUUCGGGGUACACGAGUGGCGAACGGGUGAGUAACACGUGGGUGAUCUGCCCUGCACUUCGGGAUAAGCCUGGGAAACUGGGUCUAAUACCGGAUAGGACCACUGCCUGCAUGGGUGGUGGUGGAAAGCUUUUGCGGUGUGGGAUGGGCCCGCGGCCUAUCAGCUUGUUGGUGGGGUGAUGGCCUACCAAGGCGACGACGGGUAGCCGGCCUGAGAGGGUGACCGGCCACACUGGGACUGGGAUACGGCCCAGACUCCUACGGGAGGCAGCAGUGGGGAAUAUUGCACAAUGGGCGCAAGCCUGAUGCAGCGACGCCGCGUGAGGGAUGACGGCCUUCGGGUUGUAAACCUCUUUCAGCGCCGACGAAGCGAGAGUGACGGUAGGCGCAGAAGAAGCACCGGCCAACUACGUGCCAGCCGCCGCCGUAA
rnacentral:rRNA from 1 species